UUGGUGGGGUAAUGGCCUACCAAGGCGACGACGGGUAGCCGGCCUGAGAGGGUGACCGGCCACACUGGGACUGAGACACGGCCCAGACUCCUACGGGAGGCAGCAGUGGGGAAUAUUGGACAAUGGGCGGAAGCCUGAUCCAGCAACGCCGCGUGAGGGAUGACGGCCUUCGGGUUGUAAACCUCUUUCAGCACAGACGAAGC
rnacentral:rRNA from 1 species